rnacentral:lncRNA from 1 species
GAUUUCUGGAGGUAAAUAUGCCUCUUGACCUCUUUCCAGAUCACUGCUACUCCAACCCCUAGAGGGUAAUUGUUUUUCUUCCCCGGUGAGUGAAAGCUUGUCAAAACCUUCCACCACAUCGACUUCCGCGUAGAUGACAGGGGCACCUAGAUCCCUUUACACCCAAACAACAGCACAAAGAGAAAGAGAGGAAGCUAAAGUAUGGGUUGUUUCCUUCCUUCUUCCCCAAAAUUUCCUGAGGAGGUGCUUUGAGGGGACCAUACCAUGAGAACAAUACACAGCUGCUGCUGUAUAGAGAUAUCUAAUUGUCAAUAUUGUGGAAAUUCUACAGCUUAUUACGUGCAUUCAGUCUAAUUCUGGGCAAAUUGCCAGUCACUUCAGGGACAAUCAAGUGAGCCACAUUACACGUGGUACAGCAUCACAGCUUUAAGAUACCCGGCUGUUUUGCCUCUGGCCAGAGAAUGUUUGUACCAGUGCUACCGAGUGAAGGGGGGUAACUACAAAUAAAAUAAAAUUUGUAUUUUUUCAAGUGGGCUGCAUUUCAAGCCCAGAUGUUAGUAAUGAAAGAUUCAAUUUAAGGAUUUAAAUUACAAAUAAAUAAAGUAUGAAACAGAUGUGAUUUUUAAGGAAGUUCAAAUUAUCCAGGAAGAAAAAUAUCUCUGUGCAUGACAAAGUAAUAGGGAUUGUCUUGAAGAGUCUGUUGAAAACAAUCUGCUAAGCGCAAUUCACCCUUAGGACAGGAUUGGUUUGGAAUGGGAAGGACUGGUG